GAGAGUGCAGGCGGUUUUCUAAGUCUGAUGUGAAAGCCUUCGGCUUAACCGGAGAAGUGCAUCGGAAACUGGAUAACUUGAGUGCAGAAGAGGGUAGUGGAACUCCAUGUGUAGCGGUGGAAGUGCGUAGAUAUAUGGAAGAACACCAGUGGCGAAGGCGGCUACCUGGUCUGCAACUGACGCUGAGACUCGAAAGCAUGGGUAGCGAACAGGAUUAGAUACCCUGGUAG
rnacentral:rRNA from 1 species